UUUUGUUCUAUUUCCGCUUUUUUGUAUUUUAAAAAGUUUUAAUUUAUAAAUCAGAAACAAGAAGAAAAAUAUAACUGUCCGCACAAAUAUAUUUAUGUACCGCCUAAAAUUUUUGACAAAAAAUAAUUAUAUAAUUUAAUCGCUCGCCCGCUCGUACUUUUUUUCGGCUUUUUUUCACUUAUUGUCCGACGAACAAGAAAUUACAGUGGCCUAGAAAGGAAAUAUCUAUGUCCUGGUAAAAUUGAUUAAACGAAUUUAUCUAAACAAGCGUGCUUUGCUCUCCUACUAAAGUGUCUGUAACGGAUAUCUGAUAGGGACCGGUUAAACGAAAAUAAUUCGUUUUUGUCCAGCUUAUGUAACAUGUCAACAGUCUUGUUUGUAUGGAAGAUAAUCGUGUUCAAAAAUCCAGACAUAUUAUCAAUAGCUCAAAGAGCUUUACUGAAUAAAUAGAUUUAAAUGACAAAUGAAUGAACAAAAUCCGCCUGAGGGUAUGCAUGGUGUUUCACGGCUCGGUGACUUUUCAGCUUAUUUCAUUGUCAACAAACUCCUCUCUGAAAGUGCGAGCCUCGCGUGUUGAUUAGAUGGCAGAAAUAGUUGGAUUGUCAUAAUAACAACAACAGCGUUGAUGCUUGUGAGUUGAUGAUCUUAACGAUGCCGCUCCGUUUCACGUACUUUAUAUUGUUAAUUAUGUGGAACUUUGUCUUUGUUUGUUGUUGUAAUUCUUUUAGUGUUUUUUUUCUGUUAACUUCUUGUACUGGUUGGUGUUAGUGGUUUGAUGUUGGUUAUACUAGUAGUUGAUGGUUGACUUUUAUACAUGGUAUUCUCUGUUUUUCAUAAAUUUUUCAUAAAUUAUUUGAUAUUGAUAAAUUCCUCAAAGUUCAAACGAUGUUUAUACAAUAGUAUUGAAACAAAUCUCAAGAGCUCCCCAUUGAAACGCCCCUCUAGAUUGUCAGGUUUCAAUACACCGUGUCAGCUCAAUACAAAAAGACUACAUGGAUUUUGCAUAUACCCCGGAUGAUAAUGAUAAAAAAAUGUGCAAGAUGUCCAGAGUAAUUCUGAAUGAAUUUCAAAGUUCCUAUUAUAAAUCUCCGUAAGAAUUUUGUUUUCAUACCUGUGAGUUUCACCGGGUAAAAUCAGAUGACCUUUCAAUGAAGAAUUCUUGUAUAUUUCCUUUUCAUAAAUUUCAAUUAAACUUGAUUGACAGGUGUGUUGAUUUUCGUAGAAAUUGUCAAAAACGUGACGGAAACAAUAACUUGGGCAAAAUUAUAGUACGGAAGUGUUCGGAUGAUAUAUAGUAGUAGGUCAGAGUUCUUGAAAUCUUUUUUCCACUGUCAGUCAUUUGGAGUGACAACCAUCAGAAGUUUGUCAGUCCAGACUGAUUCUAUCAGUCCAAACAUUUUCAAUAGAAAGAUGAAAAACUACAAGUAUAUUUGCCUUAUAGUUUCUCUCAUUUUUACCUUAAUUAUUCUGAUUUCUCCUAACUUUCACAUUCUGGCUCCUGAUAACAUUCUUAUUUAUCACUUCAUUAAUUAUUAUUUCCUUCCCUCUCUCAUUAUCAACUUUCUUCUUGUUCUCUUUCUCGUUCUCUUUCUGCACAUCUCAUAUGUUACUAUGGCUCGGUUGUCAGAUAGCGGAGUUCUUAUUUCCCGAAAAAAUUUAUAAAUGAUUACAUUGGGAUUUUUGUGUGUAUUUCUGUGUAUUGCAAUAAAAACAUUCACUGAAAACCCUGUUUCGGUGUAUGCAAUGUACAUUGAAAAAACGUAACGAGACAACACUCGCCAUCUUGGAUUUAUAGGGGGCCCUCAGUUCACGCUAUGUUUAAAACAAGUUCUCCACUUUCUCCCAUAAUUUCUGACGACAUCUAGGUUGGAAAAUGAUUGAAAGACUUAUUCCUCUUGUCUGAAUACAUCUGUUAGCUGCAUUAUAAACACACCGUAUCAAUAUGUACGAAAUACUCGCCAAACUUAUCGAAAGCAACGGAAGUAAUAAUUACUGAGGUGUUCCUAAAAUGUAUAAUAAGUCUAGAGAGAGCGAAAAAAACCGCGAAAAACUCCUCUAGAUUUAUCGUAUGCGUUCGGAUCUCCUCAGUGAGUAUGAAAAUUAGUUAUAUUUUCGCAAGUUACUCUGUCCAUAUCUACCGGUCAUUUGGACUGACAGGCAACCUCAAGUAAUGGGUCCUUGGUUAUUUUUAUCGGUCUUGCCGACAGGACCGAAAGAUUUCAAGAACUCUGUAUUAGGUGAUGAUGUCGUUGGUUAUGUUGUUAUUUUGGUUGUGAUAAACUUGUUUUAGAUGUUAAUGGUAGUGAUCUGAUGUUGGUAAUGCUGCUGCUGUUGUUGUUAUAGUAGAUGUGUUAUAGAUGUUGAUAUGGUGCUCUAAUGUUGGUUAUGCUGUUAUUUUGAUGGUAGACUUGCUAUAGAUGUUAAUGUGUUGCUCUAAUGUUGGUUAUGUUGUUAUUUUGGUGGUGGACUUGUUAUAGAUGAUGAUGUGGUGCUCUAAUGUUGGUUAUGCUGUUAUUUUGGUGGUGGACUUGUUAUAGAUGUUGAUAUUGUGUUCUAAUUAUGGUUAUGCUGUUAUUUUGGUUGUAGACUUUUUAUAGAUGUUGGUAGUAGUGUUCAAAUGUUGGUUAUGUUGUUUUGUGUGUAGACUUGUUAUAGAUGUUUGUACAUGUAGUAGUGUUCUGAUGUUGGUAAUAUUGAUGUUGUUGUUGUUGGUAAUGCUGUUGUUUUUUAUGAUAGACUUGUUAUAGAUGGCUGUAUUAGUAUUCUGAUGUUGGUAAUGAUGCUGUUGUUGUUAUGUUAGUGGUAAACUUCUUAUAGAUGUCGGUAAUAGUGUUACGAUGCUGAUAAUGUUGUUGUUGGUGGUGAUGGUUAUGUUGUUGUUGUUGUUGGUUUUGUUGUUAUGUUGGUGGUAAACUUGUUUUAGAUGUUGGUAUUAGCGUUCUGAUGUUGGUUAUGUUGUUGUUGUUGUUGGUAAUGCUGUUAUGUUUGUGAUGGCAGUCCUCCUCAUUGAUAUAAUAUUAGAACGUAUGAAUUUUUUUUUGCUAGUGAAAAAACCCAUAAACCAAAAAAUAUUGUAUUAAAUCAUCAAAGUAUUACCCAGCUGUUUAGAUAUACACAUGAUGUUUAGUGCACAGAUGUUAGCAACCUAUAGAUCAUUAAUUUUAUUUGGCCUUUAUCAUAAGCCCAAACUCGUUCGUACAUGGUACUGAAUCGAAAUUUGACAAAUGUGCUAUAUGGUGCAAUGGUUUACCUAAAAGUGAUGUCAUACAUUCUUGCGAUAAAAUCGAUCGUGAAAAUUCGGCGUAAAGCGACCAAAAAAAGGAUUUAAAAUCUGUAUUUUAUGGGUUUUCUUGGAACAUUGGUCCAUUUGAGCCUCGCAUUUUUUGUUGUUGUUAAGACAAACGUGUAGAUGUGCAUAUUUGCAAGAAGUUAAACGUGAUGAUCUUUUUUUUUGGUGGGGGGGGGGGGGGGUCAUUCAGAGGUACAUGGUAACAUAAACAGUAAAAUGUUUUCUUUGCGAUUUUGUAGAAUUUAAAGUUAACGAUCAAAAAAUAAAAUCAACAUCAUCCGCAAUUGCAUGUAAUGUAUUUUUUCUGUUCCAUCAUACCCACUGGCCACAUGAAACUUUGAAGAAAGCAUUCUGUUAUAUAACUUUCCUCAGUUGUUCACAUAGUCAUUUUGAUAUGCGUGGACUUUUGGUCAAGGUGCGUAAUAGCUGCAGGUCUAGAUAAUUCCUGGUCUAAAAAUAAUCGAAUGGACCACUAGGUGGUCCAUUCAAAUUUUUUUUGGUCGUCCAUACGGAUUUUUUUCAGACCGGGAACUACAGAACUGCAGCUAUUUGCGUAAUCAAUCUGUAAUUAUACUAGUAUUGUAAUGUACCGGUAUGUAAUCAGAAAAAUAUAUGGCAGUUACAUGUCUGACAGAAUUAAAAUUAACAAACAUUUAUAUCUAUAAUUCAUGAC